UACGUAGGGAGCAAGCGUUGUCCGGAAUCAUUGGGCGUAAAGAGCGUGUAGGCGGUCCUGUAAGUCCGCUGUGAAAGUCAAGGGCUCAACCCUUGAAUGCCGGUGGAUACUGCAGGACUAGAGUCCGGAAGAGGCGAGUGGAAUUCCUGGUGUAGCGGUGAAAUGCGCAGAUAUCAGGAGGAACACCGGUGGCGAAGGCGGGUCUCUGGGCCGAUACUGACGCUGAGGAGCGAAAGCAUGGGUAGCGAACAGG
rnacentral:rRNA from 1 species